CAGCAACAGCACAUGAUGGAGACGAUGAUGAGGAGGAGACCAUCUCUCUGGAUUCCAGAAGGCAUGAGGACCCAGAUGCUAUACAGUGGGAAAACCAGCCUGGCAACAUAGUGCGUAUUAAUAAAAGGACACCACAUCCUGCCAAAUUCCAGCUGCGCUAAUUGUAUUGUGUUCACAGAGCUCACAAGCUAUCAGAAAGUUGUAUGGCAACCACCUCCGGCGCCAAAUAGAACUGGCAGACAUAGACAUUCAGUACAAGAAGAAAAAGAUGGAAAAUCUUGCACUGGAGUCCGAAAUAAAAAAGAGGACAAUUAGGAAACUGGACCUUGAAAUAAAAAAAACUUGAGAGGGAGCUCCAAGAAGAUGACACAGCUCAAAAUAAAAAUUAGGUAUAUUCUCGUAAAGUCAAGUGAGCCAUGACAUAUGAGCUCUUAUAGUGAGCACACAGGACGGUGGCAUCUUUCUAAGUUUUUUUUAUUUUCCCAGCAAUCAGUACAACCAAGUCAUCGUUAUAAGGCAUCGCCCUCUUUUGCCCACCCCCCCAGCACCAGGUGUGGCCACUAGCCUAUAUGAAGGCCCAAAAUUGUGUGUUCCUUUCUGCUCUGACAAUGGCAUGCCCAUUCGUGCGAGAUGUGGUGGAUGAAGAAGCACUUGUGCUGAGGAGAGCCUUCAGGCGAGAAAGGGUCUUCAGGGACCGGUUGGACCCACUGGCCUUCCCUGAUGACCAUCUAUAUGAAAGAUACAGGUUUUCUGCAGACUACUGGGUCCCAGGAUUAAGCACCGCACUGCACGGAGCCAUGCACUGAGUGUGGAGCAAAUGGUUUGUGUGGCCUUGCGCUUUUUUGCUAGUGGAGCCUUCCUGUACUCAGUGGGGGAUGCAGAAGAGCUGAACAAGGCCACAAUUUGGCGCACAAUAAGGAGUGUGUGUCUGGCUAUCAAAGCAUUAGCAGAUGUCUUCAUCUCCUUCCCUGGCCACAGAAGACUCUGUGACAUCAAAGAGGAGUUCUAUAGGAUUGCAGAUGGUCUGCAAUGCUGACUGUGUGAUCAGCAAUGUUGUGGCAAAAUGGCCUGGCUCAGUCCAUGACUCCAGAAUCUUUCGGGCCUCUG